AGUGAAACAGUGGUGGCGCCAUAUGGAAAGUUAUCCCCAUGCAGUAUUACUAUUAGGGGCCCUGCACUCAUUCUUAAAGUUAACUAUUUGCAAAAUGUAAUCAUUUUAAAAAAUGAGUGCAGAGCAUCAGUUACUCAGCUCAACUACUAGCUCAGCUAGCUGGGUCAACUAGUGGACACCAACUUAAUAGUGAAAAGCAUUGCGAAAGUUCCGUUGGUUAUUGCCGUGAUGCGUGUGUGUACGCCGUGUAGCUAGGACGGUGGUUAACAAAAACACAACCACUAGAACUCGCAUUUUUCAAGCAUUUUCAAUAUUUAAAGAACUGAAGUCCCAUCCACUAUUCCACGAAAUCGACUGGAAGCGAAUCAGGGAGACAGAAGCCCCUUUCAUCCCAGCCCCAGAUGACAGAACGGACACCACUUAUUUUGACGCUCGGAACAACAUGCAGCAUCUCCAGAUGUCUUCUUUUGCACUUUGACCUCUUGAAUGAAAGUGCAAUCUACAACUCAUCAACAGAAGUAAUGAAACUAUUCCAGGAUGGUGGUCAACUUGGUCCAGUGGUUAGACUGCAGGACUUGCAAUCACAAGGUUGUAGGUUUGAAUCCUACUAAGCUAACUGUGGU